UGAGCUUUGGAGGCAGACUGGUCUCAAAACCUGGCCCCCUCCAUUCGCUGGCAGCGUGGCCUUGGGCAAGGAACUCGCUCUGCCCUCAGUAUCUUCAUUUAUAAAAUGAAGGGUAGAACUUUAUUAUAGCCUGAUGGCUUUGUCACAUGGAAUAAACCGCUUUCUCACUUGGAAAGCCGUUAGAACAGUACUGUAACUGGCACACAGAAAGGGCUAAUGAACGUUGGCCACAAACCCAAUGAAAAGACUCCCUUAAGAGCCACCACACAAGGCCCGAUACAAAAGGACAUACCUUAACUUUGGAGUUCUCUAUCAAAUGCUGAGCCAUGGAUUUUAUCAAAACGUCAAAGAAAAACCAUGAAUACUGAAAGAAAACAAAAAAGGAUGCUGGUAAGAAAAACAACAACUUAGAAGAGUUGAUGUACAGCACUCUGGAGUUGUCCUAUUUAUGAGGCCGCUUCUUGCCACCACCUAAAACCACAGAGAAGUGAGAGUACCCAGCUAAGAGCAUCCUUAUAAGGUUCCCGAGAGGUACAAAGUUCUCCUUACUGGAUUUUCUAAGUCACCUUUUAGUUGCAGUUGUAUGAGUUACUAUCUGUUGGAGAGGGAAAGAAUCCUAUUUCACCAAUGACUUAACCAAACUGGAUUUUAGGGUCCUGACAGUGAUGGCAGAAGAUUGUCCAGCAAAUGGGACAGUAUGAAGUCCUACAUGGGUAAAGGGUCAAUACUCUGUGUGUGCUUGCUUAGAUUUCUGACUCCUCCAUUUUUUCUUACGUUCAGAUUAGGAAUUAUAACUGAAUGGUAUAGGAUUUCUCCUGAUUUUGGAAUCUUUUAACCAUUUGUCCAUAACAUGGACCCAAAUUUGGCACUACUUCAAUGCUGAGAAAUAUUAAAAGCUCUGCAAAAUGAAAUAAAGCAGACCCUUACCUGAGUGCAUUAUAAAACUGAAAUCUAUAAAAUUUAAGAUGGCCAAACAAACUGCAAAAUCAGUUAACCAAUGGGAGAAAUGGGAGAAAAUUCAGGCUUUCAUGGAUUAGCAAAGGUAUCAGAACCAGCUACCCUGUGGGCACGAGUUGCUACAUUUACACUAAACAGAAAGACAAUUCCUAAUAGUUUGCAUGACUCUAAGAACACGUCCUUAUUUGAGCAUGGCUGAUUUGCAGUGAAAAACUUUUACCUCAUCCAGUAUCUCUAAGUCUGUUUCCCUGAUGAGGCGCUGCUAGUUCAGGACUUAUAAAAUGCCCAAACUAGAAUUCUAGAUUGUGCCGUUAAUAGCACUGCCUUCCAAUGGCCUAUGUUUACUUGGAAAUGAAUAACUAAAACCAAAAUGUUGGGACCGGCAAAAA